rnacentral:rRNA from 1 species
UAGGGAAUCUUCGGCAAUGGACGAAAGUCUGACCGAGCAACGCCGCGUGAGUGAAGAAGGUUUUCGGAUCGUAAAACUCUGUUGUUAGAGAAGAACAAGGACGUUAGUAACUGAACGUCCCCUGACGGUAUCUAACCAGAAAGCCACGGCUAUCUACGUGCCAGCAGCCGCGGUAAUACGUAGGUGGCAAGCGUUGUCCGGAUUUAUUGGGCGUAAAGCGAGCGCAGGCGGUUUCUUAAGUCUGAUGUGAAAGCCCCCGGCUCAACCGGGGAGGGUCAUUGGAAACUGGGAGACUUGAGUGCAGAAGAGGAGAGUGGAAUUCCAUGUGUAGCGGUGAAAUGCGUAGAUAUAUGGAGGAACACCAGUGGCGAAGGCGGCUCUCUGGUCUGUAACUGACGAUGAGGCUCGAAAGCGUGGGGAGCAAACAGG